CACCUCUCAGGGUCGCAGCUGGAGAGUUUCCAGUACUCUACCAGUCUCGGCUAUGGGAGGGAGAGUCAAGCAGAGGCCUGUCUAGUCCAUUCCUAGGUUGGACAGUGGCUAGCGAGUGGAGAACAAUCUGCUACAAGU
rnacentral:snoRNA from 1 species